GGUCCCCUCUUGUCUGCACAGGAGCUGCUGCCGGGGCUGUGUGAGCGUGAGCCUCCUGGGCUUUUGGACUCAGCUUUGCCUGUUGCAGAUGCUACCCGGAAUAGGAUUUCUUGUGGUGACUCAGUUUCUGGCUCUCUGUGUACAGAGCUCAGAGACAGAGAAAUUGAAGGGGGAAGAAGAGAGACACCUGCAAUACUGUUUCACCUCUUUGCGAAUCUUCCCCCCUGCAGGACACUGUUGUUUCAGUGCUAAGUUGAACUUGUAGGAUGCUGGUAAGGCUGGAGACAGCGGACUAAGAAACUCUUCUAAUACUACAGAUAGAAGAACA